rnacentral:rRNA from 1 species
GGUUUUUUGAAUAAAAAUAAAAAAUCUAACCUGCCCAGUGAGGAUUUAAACGGCCGCGAUAAUUUAAUCGUGCUAAGGUAGCAUAAUCAAUUGCCUAUUAAUUGUAGGCUGGAAUGAAUGGUUGGACUAGAAAUUAACUUUUUAGAGUCUAUAAUGAAUUUUUUAUUUUUAUGAGGAGAUAAAAAUGGAGCAAAAAGACGAGAAGACCCUAUUAAGCUUGAUAUAAAAAUUUACUGAAAGGUGUGGAGAGAGUAGUGAGAAAAUAUAUUUUACUGGGGCGGUAAGAGACUAACAAAAACAGUUUAUUAGGAUGGGAUAGUUAUGUGAGAUGAGAUCCAUAACUUGUGAUUAAAAGACUAAGUUACUAUAGGGAUAACAGCGUUAUUUUAUUUUGAAGUUCUUAUUUAUGAUGAAGUUUGCGACCUCGAUGUUGGUUUAGGAAACCUUAUUGGUGCAGUGACCAAUGAAGGUAGUCUGUUCGACUAUUAAAGUCCUAUA